CAGAGUUCGUGCCCUUACUGGUAGAUCUCCCACCCUGUGUUAUUAUACCUUUGUUGCUUUGGCGGGCCGCCCUCGGCUACCGGCCCCGGCUGGUACGCGCCCGCCAGAGGACCCUAAACUCUGAAUGUCAGUGUCGUCUCAGUACUAUACAAUAGUUA
rnacentral:misc_RNA from 1 species